rnacentral:ncRNA from 1 species
CAGUGCCUUUGUAAAAAUAUUACCAAAGGUUAAAAGGGAAUCAGGUGUGAGUCCUGAGCGAUCCGGUCACUGUGAACAGGGAGUGAUGCUGAAGGUGCCAUUGGCAUUUUGCUGAGAAGGUGCAGCAGAGCGAAGAUCUGUCAGCCAGGAAACCUGCUGAAAAUAU